rnacentral:rRNA from 2 species
ACCACUUCGGUGGGGAUUAGUGGCGAACGGGUGAGUAACACGUGGGCAAUCUGCCCUGCACUCUGGGACAAGCCCUGGAAACGGGGUCUAAUACCGGAUACAACCACUGACCGCAUGGUCGGGUGGUGGAAAGCUCCGGCGGUGCAGGAUGAGCCCGCGGCCUAUCAGCUUGUUGGUGAGGUAAUGGCUCACCAAGGCGACGACGGGUAGCCGGCCUGAGAGGGCGACCGGCCACACUGGGACUGAGACACGGCCCAGACUCCUACGGGAGGCAGCAGUGGGGAAUAUUGCACAAUGGGCGAAAGCCUGAUGCAGCGACGCCGCGUGAGGGAUGACGGCCUUCGGGUUGUAAACCUCUUUCAGCAGGGAAGAAGCGAAAGUGACGGUACCUGCAGAAGAAGCGCCGGCUAACUACGUGCCAGCAGCCGCGGUAAUACGUAGGGCGCAAGCGUUGUCCGGAAUUAUUGGGCGUAAAGAGCUCGUAGGCGGCUUGUCGCGUCGGUUGUGAAAGCCCGGGGCUUAACCCCGGGUCUGCAGUCGAUACGGGCAGGCUAGAGUUCGGUAGGGGAGAUCGGAAUUCCUGGUGUAGCGGUGAAAUGCGCAGAUAUCAGGAGGAACACCGGUGGCGAAGGCGGAUCUCUGGGCCGAUACUGACGCUGAGGAGCGAAAGCGUGGGGAGCGAACAGGAUUAGAUACCCUGGUAGUCCACGCCGUAAACGGUGGGCACUAGGUGUGGGCAACAUUCCACGUUGUCCGUGCCGCAGCUAACGCAUUAAGUGCCCCGCCUG